rnacentral:rRNA from 1 species
AUGAACGCUGGCGGCGUGCCUAAUACAUGCAAGUCGAGCGAACAGACGAGGAGCUUGCUCCUCUGACGUUAGCGGCGGACGGGUGAGUAACACGUGGAUAACCUACCUAUAAGACUGGGAUAACUUCGGGAAACCGGAGCUAAUACCGGAUAAUAUAUUGAACCGCAUGGUUCAAUAGUGAAAGACGGUUUUGCUGUCACUUAUAGAUGGAUCCGCGCCGCAUUAGCUAGUUGGUAAGGUAACGGCUUACCAAGGGAACGAUGCGUAGCCGACCUGGGAGGGGGAUCGGCCACAUGGGAACUGAGACACGGUCCAGACUCCUACGGGAGGCAGCAGUAGGGAAUCUUCCGCAAUGGGCGAAAGCCUGACGGAGCAACGCGGCGUGAGUGAUGAAGGUCUUCGGAUGGUAAAACUCUGUUAUUAGGGAAGAACAAAUGUGUAAGUAACUAUGCACGUCUUGACGGUACCUAAGCAGAAAGCCACGGCUAACUACGU